UUUUAAACUGAUGUGAUGUAAAUCAAUCACCAAUCAAGUAAUAAACCUUAUACCUUAUAUGUGCGGAAGUGUGUACUAUUUUUAUAUCAAGGAAAACCGAAACAACAAGAAAUGAAAGUUGAAAUUUUAUACGAUUGUGAGAGUCAUCACAUCGGUUAUAAUAAUAAUAACGAUAUAUUAACUUACUAAGGUAAAUUGUUCAUAGAUUUCAUUACAUUCGAAAUGUGCAUAUGAUUGUUUUCUAAAUGAUGUAAUUGUAUUUAUAAAAUGUACAUGUAUUUUAUAUCAACAAACAUCAAUCAAAUUGACAUUACACAAUUAAUUUCCUUAUUGGCGUUGUUGUGUGUUACACUUAACUUUAAAUUCGCAUUAACAUGUUAACACUUGAUAAUUUGUAACAAUUUCACUGUAUAUUGAUGACAUUUACACUAAUAUGGACUGCGUUUAUCUAUUGUAGGGAACAAAUCAAGUUAUUUGUAGGGAAUAGAUAAAGUACAAUACAAAAAAAAUAUUAAUAUCAGCGCCAAUGUCAAGAAGAAGGAAAACUCGAUUUUCGGAAUCAGGUAAUGUACA
rnacentral:lncRNA from 1 species